UACGUAGGGUGCAAGCGUUGUCCGGAAUUAUUGGGCGUAAAGAGCUCGUAGGCGGUUUGUCGCGUCUGCUGUGGAAACUCAGGGCUUAACUCUGAGCUUGCAGUGGGUACGGGCAGACUAGAGUGCGGUAGGGGAGACUGGAAUUCCUGGUGUAGCGGUGAAAUGCGCAGAUAUCAGGAAGAACACCAAUGGCGAAGGCAGCUCUCUGGGACGGUACUGGACGCUGAGACGCGAAAGCGUGGGGAGCGAACAGG
rnacentral:rRNA from 1 species